AAGGGAGAGGAAAGAAGGAGGAGAGAGAAGAAAUGAAAUAGAAUUGUUAAAACUGAGGGAGAUGGAGGAUUCCGUUUCGACUAUGGACUGAAUUCAUACAUUUAAUGCUAUCAUCAUUAUUAAAGGAAGUAGAGUAGAAAGUAGUAUGUUGUAUUUUUUUUAACCAACUUAUUUCAAUUUUAGAAAAAGUAUUAAAAUUGUUUCUAAUUUGCACAUUCAGUGCCUGGUGGUGCCAAAACAAUAUUACAGUUUUUUAUAAAUUAAUUUGUCAAAUAUUUUGAGCAUUUUAACCCUAUUUUUAUUAAACCAAGGCUUCAAUGGUCAUCGUUAACAUUUUGGUUAACAUUUUGAACGAGCUUGAGUUUUGAUUUCACUUGAAACGCAAAUACCACCCCAUACCUUCUGAAAUUAUGUGUUCUAAAAAAAAGUGGUAAUUUUACGUGGUAAGUUUCACAAUUGUAAUGCCGAGUAAAUUUAUGGAAAUACAUACAUAGCAGCAGGACUUACCUCAUUUAUUACACAUCUCAAUACAAAAGUUACCAUUAAUAUUUAUCCGCUUAAUCAAUCAAAAAAUCGAGGUUCCAAAAAUUACACAUGGGGUCAAUUUGAACCUUGGUAGCUCAAUACAUGUAAUCCAUUCAUUCCCCCCAUAAUAUCAUAUGCCAUCAACCUUUGAUGGUGGAUCUUAGCCAGGUCCUCCUAGUGUUUAUGGAUGAAAAUAACACAAUAGUGAAUACUGCAUCACAAUUAACUAAAAUUAAAAUCUUUCUACGGUAUAUAACCCCCCAUAGGCCAUAGUAGUUGAGUACAACUAGUCUUUAAGAUUGCUCAUAACAAAAUAGAAUAAUAGAUUAGAAAAAGACCAUUCUUUGAUGCCCUUCCACAAAAAUGCAUCAUACCUUCACCGGGCUCUUACACUGCAGCUGCAAAUGCAAAAGCCAAAAAAGCAACUUAUAC
rnacentral:lncRNA from 1 species